UUGGGAAUAUUGGACAAUGGAGGAAACUCUGAUCCAGUGACGCCGCGUGAAGGAAGAAGGUCUUCGGAUUGUAAACUUAUUUUGUCAGGGAAGAAAAAAAUGACUGUACCUGAAGAAAAAGCACCGGCUAACUACGUGCC
rnacentral:rRNA from 1 species